UUCAGGACUCAAUAAAAUAAACAGCUGGAAAUAAGCAGACUACUGUAAGAGUGAAUUGAAAAGAAAACCCAAGGUCACAUCUCCCAAGAAGCAGUAAUGUUCCAGCAAUAAGAAAAGGACAGUUUUUUGUCUUUUGCAUGGUGAGCCUUAUAUGAAUUACAUCAAUUUUGUCACCAAUAUCCAUCAACAGAUAAUUCUGGUGAAGAUACUGUCACUGACCGGGGAAUGUGCCUGUGGACCAUAACCCAAAGGUGGCAUCUUUUGUGACAAAAGAGGUUCUGCGGGAGGCUCCAUCUUUGAUUCAAACCUCACUUCUUCCUAAAAGCCUUCGUCAAUGAAGAAACCUUGCAAAUUACAAUAGAUGUUUCCCCUCACCAUUCAUGUAUCUAGUUUGUACUUCCUUAUCUUCCUUUUGUGAAUACAGUGGCUUGCCAUUUUGCCUCGAGGAACACUUGUUUGUCCACCCCAAUCCAGUGAUAAAGGAGAAGGAAAAGAUUUAUCAGAUCAUGUAUUUAUGCACAGCGCAUCCCCAAACGCUUCAGCAGCAAUAAGUACCCAAAAAAGUACUGUUUAGGUAGCCAACUCCCACUGUCUAAUUUAAUCCCACUGAGACUGGAUGUGUCUUUUUCUCCUUUUGUUCUAAAGAAACUUCUUCUACUACUAUUUGCUGGCAGGAAUAACUUUCUGCCACCUGUAGUACUCUCUGCUUCUGUGAAGGCUGAACUUCAAGUUGCUGUGAAAGAAUCUGCAUUAUCCCUCUAUAGUCAUACCUAAAAUUAACCCACUGUCUCAAGUUAAAUAAGAUCUAGAAUGCUCACAACUGUUAUGGUUAUCGGAGAACUAGAGAGUGGGGCUUUCUGGCACUACGAGAGGAUGUAGAAGAUGACACGUGGUUUGGCCUUUAUUUGGAAGCAGCAGAAAUCACAGAGGUGGUGGUUACAAGACAAAAAAGGCCAGGGGAGUGAACACAAAGUUUUGGCUGAGUUACUUUGUACUAUUAUGUAAUGAGAUACAAGUUCAGCCUUGCUUGAGUUUAAAUAACCAUAAUGAACUGUUACAAACUCUGGGAUGGAGACAUUAUAAACAUAGGAAAUUCUGUACUUGGUCCUCCAGUUGGUCAAGUCUACCUGUAUUCAUAAGGAACACAUUCAUUCCCUUGGGCUACAAGAGAAACAUUCUGCAAACUGGAAAUAGAAGUUACUUUCUGGAUGGUUCUCUCAAAGAAUAUAAUGAAGUAAAUCCGAACUUCAGAAAUCUCUGUGAUCAUGUAUUUUAGAACAUCACCAGAGCAAAUAGCAAUGAAUCUCAGCUGAUUAGAGCUUUAGUAAGUAAUUGGGAUAGCUGAAUAUCCAAAUAGCUGGAUUUUUAUCCAAGUAAACACAUGAAAACAAAGACGGCAGUUAUCAUAAAUAUUUUUAAAGGAAUAUUUCUAAAUUAUGACAUAUUUAUUUUCUUUUUAGAGAAUUUUGAAUAGAAUUUACUUUCCUGAUGAUAAACAGUCAUCAGAAAUUUUAUUUUAAAAUUUAUUAGAAAUGUGGAGAGCAGGAUGUCUAGCCUCUGAAUGGGAACCUUAGUAGUGCCAAUGACGAAAGAGAGAAUUAAAUAUGGGUGAUGUUGAGAAAAGCAAGAUUUUUGUCUAGAAGUAUGCCCAGUGCCACACUGUGGGAAAGGGAGACAAACACAAGACUAGGCCACAUCUCCAUGGUCUCUGGACAGAGGACAGCUCAGGCCUUUGGAUUCACUUACACAGACGCCAGUAAAAACAAAAGCAUCACCUGGGGACAGGAAACACUGAUGGAGUAUUUGAAGAAUCCCAAAAAGUUCAUCCCUGGAACAAAAUUGAUCUUCACUAGCAUUAAGAAGAAAGCAGAAAGGGCACACUUGAUAGCCUAUCUCAAAAAAACUUACGAGCAUUAAUUAGUUGGCCACUGCCUUGUUUAUUACAAAACAGGAACAUCUCAUGACUUUUUAAUGUGUACCAUGAUUUAAUAGAUCUCAUACACCAGAAUUCAGAUCAUUAACAUCUGACAGAAUAUUUUUGUUGGGCAAUCCUGUUAACUAAGACUGGAUUGUGGCUAAAUGAGUAUGUUCUAUGUUUCUUUGAAUUUUGAUAGUAAUUUUGAUUCAGUAAAUGCUGUCACUGUUUCCCCCUUCUGAAGAUAUGGUUGGACUUCAUUAGUAAUGUUCAACUUUUCAUAAAGAUGAAUACCACCUUAAAACCUAUUGGAAACUGGUUUUAUGUUUACAUUUAUAUAACUAGCUAUGUGAAUAUAUUUAAAUACUGGGGAAAUUCCUUCACUGUCUCAGAAUCAAGCAAGAGUCACCUGUAUUUUGUGUUCUUUUGCCUCUUAUAGGCAAGGGCUGAAGAUAAGGUAGCAAUGUCUACUUUAUAUUUUUGGCUUUGACUAUGCCAAUCAAAUUAGAAUUCUCUGUAUCUAAAAUGGUUUCCUUUACUUAUAGAAAGGUAUUUUAGUGUAGACUUUAGAGAAGUGCAAUAUUUAGAGUGAUAUUAUACACUAAAGUGUGAUAGUUGAGAAGAGUUAAAUAUUUUUUACUUGAUAUUACACUUUGGCAUGUACUGUAAUAUCAAAUAUACUUUAUAAAUAAUAAAAUCUUAUAAAUAACAAAAUCUAAUAAAAAUCAAAUAAAGAAAUUUAAUAUUACACACCAAAGUGUAAUACCAAAUAAAGAGUAUUUUACUCUUCUCAAAAAAAUCUACUAGACACUUAUGAAAAAAGUAUUAAAUUAUUGUUUACGCUAUAAUGCUCUCAAGGCCUUCUAAGAUUUAUAUGACAUUUUGGCCCAACACUAAGUGCCCUGGUUGUUUUCCUUUUUAUGUUUUUUCUUCCUCCUUCAUCUAUUGUUUUCCUUCUUUCUGUAGUCAUAUGCUAGAUCUUAUGAGGCCCUCCCUCUACUUGUAAUUAAUAUUUUGUCUUAGAAUUAGCUAUGUCUUGGAACCCAACCAGAUAACUAAGCUUGUGUAAAAACCAAUUAUAAAUAGGAUGUACUGGGUCUAAAGAGAUUUCCUCUGAGAUCAAGUGCAUGCACUGUAGUGCUUGAACUUUGGGAUUCUGUUUUGGCAACCUAAAGGCCUAUUUGCUGACUUCCUAACUUCUCAGAUGGUUUGUGACAGCGAAGGUUGCGAGAGGACAGAUUCAUCACAGGUGAGGUAUUGCUGUAGUAGGAAGGCAAAAAAGGUAAUUGAAAGACCCUGUUCUUCAAAUUACCAAGAGAAAGAUGUCUGCAGGGAAUAGGACAAUCAACUUUCUGUUAUUUGCAUUACGGCUUGAUAAUUAUCACAAGUACAUUCAGUUUGAGAGUUUCUCCAUCUCUUCUCAAUGCCUUCAAAUAGAUAUGUUAUAAGACAUGGCAAAUUGAUUAUUUACCUAAGCAAGGCCAAUGUCACGUUCCAAAAAUAUUUCAAAGCCAAAUACACAUAACUUUAUAAAUUUGGCCACUGUUUUUUUCUCCCCUUGACUGUUUUAUUCUUGAUUGCAAUAGCCAAGAGUUAAUAUAGUUGCAUUUUCUUAAGGAAACAACAUAAGUUCUAACAAGAAAUCUGUGAAAAUGAAUUUGUGAUUUUAGUUCAUUUUUGGAUGAUAUCAACUAAUCAUUGUAGUACGUACCUGGCAAAGCAAAAAGUUUAUCAUGGCAACUCCUUAUUUUGUUCCCUAUGAGACUGUAUUAUAUUUGGAUCUCUCUAGAACAUUUGACUCCCUUCUUAAGGAGACUGAUGUUGAAAAUUAUCAUAUAGCCACAAAACGCAGUCCAUUUUAUAUUAAAAUGUAUGUUUCUAAA